UACGUAGGGAGCAAGCGUUGUCCGGAAUCAUUGGGCGUAAAGCGCGCGUAGGUGGCCCAUAAGUCCGCUGUGAAAGUCAAAGGCUCAACCUUUGAAAGCCGGUGGAUACUGUGGGACUAGAGUACGGAAGAGGCGAGUGGAAUUCCUGGUGUAGCGGUGGAAUGCGCAGAUAUCAGGAGGAACACCAAUAGCGAAGGCAGCUCGCUGGGACGUUACUGACACUGAGGCGCGAAGCGUGGGAGCGAACAGG
rnacentral:rRNA from 1 species